UAAAAAUUUUUGGAGAAGUAAGAGGAGUGGUGGCUGAGGGACGAAACUGAGAAGAAAGAGAGAACGAAGGAAGGAAAAGUGACGGGGGGGUUUCUGAGAGAGAACCUAAGCGGGAGAGAGAGAGCGGCCAAGCUGGAAAAGAAAGAAACGAGGGAGGAAGAGAAAGGUGUGGAGAGCAAGAAAGGUUACGGGCGGAACAUGAUAAGAACUUGGGAAGGAAAGAGAGCAGUUGAGAGUGGCGGCGGGAAAGGAAACAGAGAGCUACGGGCUGAGAAACGGAAAAGCUGAGAAAAAGGAGAGCUUGGGGAGGAAGACUCUGGAACAAGCCGAGAGAGAAGACUCAGGAGCAGGGGGCCGACGCGGGAAUCGCUCGGGAAGGUGUUUAGUGUUUUGAUUAUAGACGAGUGAACUUGUACUUGUUUUAAGUUGACUAGCAAGAUGUAUGUAGUUGUCGUGGUGGUUGUAGUUAUCAGCUUUUCUAGGGUUUAUUUUCUGGUACUCGUGGUAUGUACGACUUGAUGUACUAGUCUAUGUAAUUCUGGAGAAUUGGAUAUAAUAUUUGAGAUUUAUCUUAUACUUCA